rnacentral:rRNA from 1 species
CCUAAGGUAGCGAAAUUCCUUGUCGGGUAAGUUCCGACCUGCACGAAUGGCAUAACGAUGGCCACACUGUCUCCUCCCGAGACUCAGUGAAGUUGAAAUGUUUGUGAUGAUGCAAUCUACCCGCGGCUAGACGGGAAGACCCCAUGAACCUUUACUGCAGCUUUGCAUUGAACUGUGAACCGAUUUGUGUAGGAUAGGUGGGAGGCAGAGAAGAGGCCACGCCAGUGGUCUUGGAGCCGACCUUGAAAUACCACCCUGAUUUGUUUGCGGUUCUAACCACGGACAGUGAUCCUGUCUUGGGACCGUGCAUGGUAGGCAGUUUGACUGGGGCGGUCUCCUCCUAAAGGGUAACGGAGGAGUACGAAGGUACGCUAGGUACGGUCGGAAAUCGUGCUGAUAGUGCAAUGGCAAAAGCGUGCUUGACUGCGAGAGCAACAACUCGAGCAGAUGCGAAAGCAGGUCAUAGUGAUCCGGUGGCUCUGAAUGGAAGGGCCAUCGCUCAACGGAUAAAAGGUACUCUGGGGAUAACAGGCUGAUACCGCCCAAGAGUUCAUAUCGACGGCGGUGUUUGGCACCUCGAUGUCGGCUCAUCUCAUCCUGGGGCUGUAGUCGGUCCCAAGGGUAUGGCUGUUCGCCAUUUAAAGAGGUACGUGAGCUGGGUUUAAAACGUCGUGAGACAGUUUGGUCCCUAUCUGCCGUGGGCGUUGGAAGAUUGACGGGGGCUGCUCCUAGUACGAGAGGACCGGAGUGGACGCACCUCUGGUGUACCGGUUGUCACGCCAGUGGCAUUGCCGGGUAGCUAAGUGCGGAAGAGAUAACCGCUGAAAGCAUCUAAGCGGGAAACUUGCCUGAAGAUGAGUCUUCCCGGAGGUUGAACCUCCCUCAAGAGUCGUCCGAGACCAGGACGUCGAUAGGUCAGGUGUGUAAGCGCUGUAAGGCGUUGAGCUAACUGAUACUAAUUGCUCGUGAGGCUUGAUCCU